UAGCCUCUCAUAUAUCUAAAAGAAAAGAAUAGGAUUUAAUCCUGAGAAUAAAUCCACAAAUAAUUCUUGUUUCAAUUUUCUCGCUUCAUUUUCUUCUUCCUCUUCUCUCAACGCUCCACCGUCUCCCCCACGACCUUCUCUUCAGGUUCCCGGUUUCCUUCACCUCAACAUGAUGGAAAAGUGAGAAGUUCCAUUUUAAUUGACACAUUUCUGUAUCUACUAUGGAUGCUACGGAAAGAGAAACCAAGUCUAGGAAUUCAGACUGUAUAUCUGUAGAGAACAACAAAUCAUCGGUUCAAAUAAAGUUAUUGUUCUUUGCUAGAGCUCGAGAUUUAACCGGUUUAAGUGAUUUGCCACUGGAAGUAUCAUAUGGUAGUACAACUGAAGAUUGCUUGAACAAGUUUGUUGCAAAGUUUCCAAGCUUGGAAGAGAUCUGUGGCUGCAUGGUUCUUGCUUUAAACGAGGAAUAUGCAAAUGACUCGAUUAUUGUUAAAGACAAAGCUGAAUUGGCCAUUAUCCCUCCUAUAAGUGGUGGCUAAUUAUUUGCAUUCAUAAGGAAAAUAGAAGAAUACAAAGUUGAUGACUAUAUAUAUUUAUUUUAUAUUCAAAAGAAAAACAAAUGACCUUAAAUAAUUUUAUUCUCUCGUCAGUGGAGUUAUUUUUUACACACUUCA